UACGGAGGGUGCAAGCGUUAUCCGGAUUCACUGGGUUUAAAGGGUGCGUAGGUGGGUAGGUAAGUCAGCGGUGAAAUCCCCGAGCUUAACUUGGGAACUGCCAUUGAUACUAUCUGUCUUGAAUACCUUGGAGGUGAGCGGAAUAUGUCAUGUAGCGGUGAAAUGCUUAGAUAUGACAUAGAACACCAAUUGCGAAGGCAGCUCACUACACGGUUAUUGACACUGAGGCACGAAAGCGUGGGGAUCAAACAGG
rnacentral:rRNA from 1 species